rnacentral:rRNA from 1 species
AUUGAACGCUGGCGGCAGGCCUAACACAUGCAAGUCGAGCGGAGCGGCGGACGGGUGAGUAAUGCCUAGGAAUCUGCCUGGUAGUGGGGGAUAAAGUCCGGAAACGGGCGCCAAUACCGCAUAAUAUCAGAUGAGCCUAGGUGGGAUUAGCUAGUUGGUGGGGUAAAGGCCUACCAAGGCGACGAUCCGUAACUGGUCUGAGAGGAUGAUCAGUCACACUGGAACUGAGACACGGUCCAGACUCCUACGGGAGGCAGCAGUGGGGAAUCUUGGACAAUGGGCGAAAGUCUGAUCCAGCCAUGCCGCGUGUGUGAAGAAGGUCUUCGGAUUGUAAAGCACUUUAAGUUGGGAGGCGUUAUCAACAGAAUAAGCACCGGCUAACUUCGUGCCAGCAGCCGCGGUAAUAC